AUGGAUAUCUCUGCCUGUUACCGGGCAGGGGCAGGAAGGUCUGCCGCGCCAGCAGGGCCCGGCGGAGCUGGCACGGCCGGAGAGCAGGGGCACGGCCGGGGGGCAGGGGCAGGGGCACGGGCAGAGCCGGAGGGAAGGGGCACGGCCGCAGGGCAGGGGCAGGGGCCUGGCACUCCACAUGCAGCUCCGAGGCGCAACUGGUGGCGGGCGCUCCGUAACAGCGCGGGAGCAGCGGUGCGGGAGCAGGGGUGCGGGAGUCAGCGGUGCGGGAGCCAGCGGUGCGGGAGCCAGCGGUGCGGGAGCCAGCGGUGCUCCAUGCAGCGGUGCGGGAGCAGUGGUGCGGGAGCAGCGGUGGGGAAGCAGCGGUGUUCCAUGCAGUGGUGCGGGAGCAGCGGUGCGGGAGCAGCGGUGCUCCAUGCAGCGGUGCGGGAGCAGGGGUGCUCCAUGCAGUAGUGCGGGAGACAGCGGUGUUCCAUGCAGUAGUGCGGGAGCAGGGGUGCUCCAUGCAGUAGUGCGGGAGACAGCGGUGCUCCAUGCAGUAGUGCGGGAGCAGGGGUGCUCCAUGCAGUAGUGCGGGAGACAGCGGUGCUCCAUGCAGCGUGCCCCGCACCGCUGCCAGCGCUGCAGCCGCAAACCCUGCCCGGGCUGGAAAGCCUCCCUUUCACAUUCUCCUGGGUUUAUUUUCCCUUCUUGCCUACUUCUGCCUGACGGGUUACGGUCUCCGGGGGGGAUUUCCAUGGCUGGAGGCGCGGNGGAUUAAAAAAGCAGUCUUGUUUCUGGAACUGGGAAAAUCAAUAGCUAUGUGUAAUCAAAGCUGAAGACUUGUUUCAGAAACCAGAAAGUAUCCGAAGCUAAGUAAAAAAUGUUUUGGCAGGGAGGCAUAGUAAGCUGGCUUAUACUUAUCUUACUGUUGGAUGAUUUUUUUGUGCUUUAUU
rnacentral:lncRNA from 12 species